CUGCAACAGAAAUUUAAUUAGGUUUUCUUUUUUACUAUAUACUCUGUUUUUCCCCCAACCUGAUUUUAUAACUCUAGACCUUAUUUUUGCAAACAAAUAUUAGUUUAUGACACAGGAUGGUGCUUCCUGUGCUGAUUUUUCAUAUUGUGUUUCUCUGGUUCACAGAUCCUUCAUUAAGCAGCAAAAUCCUUCAGCCUGCUGAUGUGAUCAAGAAUCCAGGAAAUAAUGUGAACCUCAGUUGUAGUCACACUUACAAGGACGUUUUUUACCUUUACUGGUAUCAACAAACAAGACAAGACACAUCACUGAAGCUUACUGGAUAUCUCCACACAACAAACUUCAAUAAGGAAACAGAGUUUGAGGAACGCUUUCAUAUUUACGGAGAUGCAAAAAGUGAAGGGAUCCUGCAGAUCUCCAACCUGAAUUCACAUGAUAGUGCGGUGUAUUUCUGUGCAGUGAGAGAAAGCACAGUGCCACGGUUUUCUGCUGCCUACUUCAAAAACUCACUGUAUUAUAACUCUGUAUGCUAUCUGCACAUCUCCAGCUGCUACUGAUGCAGAAAGCAACA